UUAUGGUGACAUUUCCAGCCAUUAUAAGAUCAGGCUCGGAGGCUAAAUUAUGUGUGAGCCUUCUGAAACCAGAAGAAAAUAUGCAGCUUACCAUUACUCUGGUUAGCAGUAACCAGAACCGAACACUUCUGCAGGAGAAAACAGUGAAGGAAUUCCAUCGCUGCCUUGACUUUCAAGCUCCUGAGUCAGCGUCCAUGCAGGAGAUUCAUGUAGAAGCUCAAGGGAAAUACACACAUCUGAUAGAAAAGAGAAAAGUCAAGUUCGUUUCGCAUAAUCCACUGACUCUAAUUAAAAUUGAUAAACCAAUCUACAAUCCUGGAAAAACAGUUCAAUUCAGGAUUUUCACAGUUGACUUUGACUUUAAACCAGUUGAUGAAACA